UACGUAAGGUGCAAGCGUUAAUCGGAAUUACUGGGCGUAAAGCGUGCGCAGGCGGUUUUGUAAGUUUGUCGUGAAAUCCCCGGGCUCAACCUGGGAAUGGCGAUGAAGACUGCAAGGCUAGAAUCUGGCAGAGGGGGGUAGAAUUCCACGUGUAGCAGUGAAAUGCGUAGAGAUGUGGAGGAAUACCGAUGGCGAAGGCAGCCCCCUGGGCCAAUACUGACGCUCAUGCACGAAAGCGUGGGGAGCAAACAGG
rnacentral:rRNA from 1 species